rnacentral:rRNA from 1 species
CCCCUUCGGGGGUGACGCUGGUGGAAUGAGCGGCGGACGGGUGAGUAACACGUGGGCAACCUGCCUGUAAGACCGGAAUAACCCCGGGAAACCGGGGCUAAUGCCGGGUAACACCUUCUCUCGCAUGAGGGGAGGUUGAAAGAUGGCUUCUCGCUAUCGCUUACAGAUGGGCCCGCGGCGCAUUAGCUAGUUGGUGAGGUAACAGCUCACCAAGGCGACGAUGCGUAGCCGACCUGAGAGGGUGAUCGGCCACACUGGGACUGAGACACGGCCCAGACUCCUACGGGAGGCAGCAGUAGGGAAUCUUCCGCAAUGGACGAAAGUCUGACGGAGCAACGCCGCGUGAACGAUGAAGGUCUUCGGAUCGUAAAGUUCUGUUGUUAGGGAAGAACAAGUGCCGUGCGAAUAGAGCGGCACCUUGACGGUACCUAACGAGGAAGCCCCGGCUAACUACGUGCCAGCAGCCGCGGUAAUACGUAGGGGGCAAGCGUUGUCCGGAAUUAUUGGGCGUAAAGCGCGCGCAGGCGGUUCCUUAAGUCUGAUGUGAAAGCCCACGGCUCAACCGUGGAGGGUCAUUGGAAACUGGGGAACUUGAGGACAGAAGAGGAGAGUGGAAUUCCACGUGUAGCGGUGAAAUGCGUAGAUAUGUGGAGGAACACCAGUGGCGAAGGCGACUCUCUGGUCUGUUUCUGACGCUGAGGUGCGAAAGCGUGGGUAGCAAACAGGAUUAGAUACCCUGGUAGUCCACGCCGUAAACGAUGAGUGCUAGGUGUUAGGGGGCUUCCACCCCUUAGUGCUGAAGUUAACGCAUUAAGCACUCCGCCU